UUUCACAUUUCCUCCAAGACGCUGUGUUUCAUUUAUUCUGAGAUCGGAUGGGCUUGGCAUCAGUAUGUGUUUUUGUUGUAAAGCGUAUAUCUAUAGUUGUUUUAAUGGGUUGGCAUGUAUGAAUAUUUUGUAGAUAACCUGAUUUGGGCUGGGAAGUAAAAAAUGGAGGUUCAUCACGAGAAGCUUCUAUUUUCUUCACGAGUAUCUGUCGUUCUUGACAUAUGUUCAUCGUCUUCUCGAAGUUCUGACUAGGUUAACCAACAAUGGAGUUUCUGAAAGGUUGUGUGAAACGAGUCUUCUUGAGUAAUCUUUGUCUUGUAUCAUUUUCUUUACGAUUCAAUGAUUCAAACAUUGCGUAAUUAGUCGGAAUCAAAGCGUCACCUUAAACGGGUUCAUUAACUAUUGUUUUUUUUUUUUUUGUAAACUCUUCAUUAACUAUUGUUCUCCACUCCUCCCACAAUCUAUCAUUGAAUGCAUCUCUCUUCAUUUUUUUCUCAAAAUCUGCAACUAUAAAAAGGAAGUCCUAUGCUGUGAAUUUCAUUAGUUCUAUCAUUUCAUAUCUUUCAAAAAUCCCAGUGAUAACGUCAAUGAUUUAGAUUUUGAUUUUGUUAGUUGAUUUUGUUUCAUUAUGUGUUUUUUCAAAAUUUUAGCUUUAUUUCAGAAGAUUUUGUUUAUGGGAGAUGAUUCGAUUUCAAUUUUGAUUGUUGAUUUUGUUUUAAUUUGUUCAUGUAUUGAUUAUCAAAAGAAAAUAUUUAAAAUUUUGUGUCUAUGGGAGAUGAUUUAGAUCUAGAUUUAUUUUGUUAAUUUUGUUUCCAACGAGAUUAGUUUUUCUAUUACCGGUUUCGCUAAACGUCUCUUCUUGACUCUUUACCUUCAACAAUCUAUAAAACCUUCGACAUUACAAUUCAUUAUUUUGAUAUUAAACGGUUGUCAUAUACAUAAUCGUCCAAUUUGCUGUUUUUUUAUAUUAAAUCAGAGGAAGAUAUUACAAAUGGAAAAAGCAAAGCUCAAUCUGAAACUAAAUUCUUAAAGCUAAGGAGAAAAUGAAGAGAUUGAGACAAUCCAGUAAAAAUGCAACAAAGUCACUGGAAAAUCCGGUAUACUUGAUGAGAUUAUCAAGCAUGUUCUAUCUCCAAAAACAAGUUGAGGCAAGUAAUGAAACCAUGAUUCUCUGUUUCACCAUUUUCUUCAAAAAGGUAUUGUGAAUCUUCUUUUAAUUGAGAAGUAAUUGAUAGCUGCUACAAGGAUAAUUGCAUAACUUAUGGUAAAAACUACAUAUUACCAGGGAACUAUAAAUCUUCAUGAAAGAUAAAUUGGACCUUUAUGAUGUUGUUUUUGUUACAUAUCAAGAUUGCUCUAGCCUUCGAUUUUAAAAUUAUUGUCUUGUGGUAAGUAUAAUUGAAACUGAUUAUGUAUGAAGUAUUCUAUUUCAACCAACAUAACUAUAAACUCUCACGGUAUUAGGCAACC